CACCCCCACCAAAGGGGAAGCUGUUGAACUGUGUUGGCCUCCAUCUACUGUACCAUGAAUCAUCUGUUACGGCAGUGCGCCACCCAGCUUUCUUUCAUUCUCAAUGACUCCUAGGCAUCUAAAGUAUGCUGGGUGCCCUCAGUGCACUGGAACAGAUAAGACAUAAACCAGCUUCUCAGGCAAACCCCCCAAAGCCCAAAUGUUGGAUGCACACUACUUCAACACUUUCCCUCCUUGGAGUCAAGUCAGAGUUGGAGUUUUCUUCCACUUGUUCCACGCUUAGAUGGGGAGAGGAGCUAUAGCAAUAUUCUCUUUUCCUCACUGAGAAGCUGGGAGCUGAGAGUUUUCUCUCAGUUGUGCCAUGAUGAACCAAGUGGAGGGACUAUGAUGAAUGAGUGCCACAAGUUUUCCUACAAGCUUUGAUGCAUCUGGUUUCAUGCUCACAUGAGGAUCUAUUUGCCUCAGUUCGAUUGGUGGAACCUAGACUCGUGUCGUUAGUGCUCUCACUAUUCAAAAACAAAAACAAAUAAGAAAAAGGAGAAACAAAGUCUUUCUGUCCUUUAAAAUGUGGAUGACUCCCAUGGCCUCUGCCUAACCCACCUGACAUACUGAAUUUGUGAGUGUUCAUCCUUCUCACCCCACUCCUAAUAUUCUAGCCGUACUUCCAGCCUGGCUUUGUUCUGGCCAGCCAUCGUGGUAUUGUGUAAUAGUAACAGUUAAAGGGUGAGCAAAAUCCUGCAACAGCUCUUAUUAUAAUUAUAAACAAUAAAACCAUCUUCAUCAUAUGACCCGCAGCCUG
rnacentral:lncRNA from 1 species